GUGUGGCUGGGGCUGAGCCUCAUUGGCUAUGGCAUCACAAGGCCUCAUUGCACGGGGAUUCUGAGGUUCAAGCAGCACCUCCACCCAGGGAGGGAGGAAUUGCUCUCAUCCCAUUUUACAGAUGAGGCUCAAGAGUGCAGGAGCCAAGGUGGAGCCAGAAUCUUGCCUCAGGACCCAGAAGAGCUCACCUAGCUUGCUUGAGGGGAGGGCUCCGAAUUCCCACUGCAACAGGAGCUCUGAGGUGACAGGCGAGUUUUCCAGAGACUGAUGUGUGACAUCGGGACUGAUUGAACUCGGAGGCAGAUUCGAAGGUCCCGCCUGUAGUCUGUGAAGCCAGUUGUUAAAGAAAUGUACAAAAAUGUAAAAUGACAGCACUCUUGUCACUAAAUGUUUUUACUUUUGGAGGAUGCAACUAAUUUUCAUAGAAUGUUAUUUAUAUUCAAAUGUGUAAUGGGCUUAUAAUUAUAUUAAAAGAAUUAAUAAACAUUUUAAAAUUUUGUUUCAA